rnacentral:tRNA from 1 species
GUGGGUGUAGCUCAGCUGGUUAGAGCAGCUGGUUGUGGCCCAGGAGGCCGUGGGUUCAAGUCCCAUCACUCACC